AGGCUAAGCUUGAAGUCUUCAACAUCUCUACGAAAGGCACGAAGAACAAAAGGCAUAGAAAAAACAGCAUGAAGUAAGCUUCUCACUUUUGCCAUCUUCUUUAAUUUCGUUUCAUUUCCGUAGUACUUUCCGUAUGCACUCACAAAAUUAUCAUAGGCAACGCAGGCGAAGUCCAAAAUUUUUUAGGAUAGUGU
rnacentral:ribozyme from 15 species